rnacentral:lncRNA from 1 species
AGAUUGAUUUAGAAAUUAUCUAAAUGAUUGUAAGGUAAAUCUAAGAUUAACUCCAAUUAAUUCUUGACAUGUCGGAUUCUUGAAGAGUGAUGAAACUUAUGCAAUGAUUUCAAACAUAGAAAAUGGAUCAAGAUUUAAUUUUUAUAUGCUAUACCCGAAGGUAGUAAAGAUAAAGAAACUUAAAAUUUUGUCCUAAGUCUUAUAUGAAAUUUGAAGGUUGGAUCUAUCCUGGAUUGAUCUAACAUAUAAGGAUAUUUUAUCUUUGAUAGACUUAUAUAAUUUGGUAAGUUGAGAUCAGAGUGCGCAGCAAAAGCGUGAUGGUCUGAAUUGAUUAGAAAUAUUAAUCUUUUAAAUCAAAAGUUAUGAUGGAAUACAUUAGUUGCAAAUA